UACGAAGGGGGCUAGCGUUGCUCGGAAUCACUGGGCGUAAAGGGUGCGUAGGCGGGUUUUUAAGUCAGAGGGGAAAUCCUGGAGCUCAACUCCAGAACUGCCUUUGAUACUGAGAAUCUUGAGUAUGGGAGAGGUGAGUGGAACUGCGAGUGUAGAGGUGAAAUUCGUAGAUAUUCGCAAGAACACCAGUGGCGAAGGCGGCUCACUGGCCCAUAACUGACGCUGAGGCACGAAAGCGUGGGGAGCAAACAGG
rnacentral:rRNA from 1 species